GGUUAGGACCUCCGGUGCAACGGCUGGCAUGGUAGAUAAGUAUUACAUUGAGCCUGUAUCAGGUCGUCGAUUUAGGUCCAAGAAAGAGGUGCAGCAUUAUCUGGAAACAGGAACCUUGAAAAAGAACAAAAGAGUAACAGAGAAUUCUGAAGAUGACGUUAAUCAUCCAGAGGGUUCCAGGAGUCGCAACAAGAAGGCUACGAAGAAUGCAAAGCGUCCUGAAAUGAAGUUUGAUUAUUUGAAUGUGCCUGAUAGGAUCGAAUGGGUUCUUGAGGAUGCAAAUGAAGAUGCUUGGACUCCCUUCAUUGGAGGCAAAAAGGUUACUGAAUAUGAUAAGCAAAAUUGGGAGUUCGAGAUGCUUCAUUUGCACCACUAACUGCUAGAAGCAGUGGCGAAACAAUGUUUCGAAGCCUUUCAGAAUUCUGCCCCCAAUUCAUCAAAUGGUAGUCUCACACAGGCCAAUCAAAGUUCUCUCUCUCUCU
rnacentral:misc_RNA from 1 species